rnacentral:tRNA from 1 species
GCGGGGUUGGUCUAAUGGUAUGACGCGACCCUUCCAAGGUCGACGCACGGGUUCGAUUCCCGUACCCCGCU